rfam:Penicillium oxalicum 114-2 unplaced genomic scaffold scaffold_7, whole genome shotgun sequence.
GGCAACUUGGCCGAGUGGUCUAUGGCGCAUGACUCAAGAUCUCCAUCUUACACGGUGUCAAACAUCGUGAGCAUUCAUGUCUUCGAAAGGGGGCGAGGGUUCGAAUCCCUCAGUUGUCA